rnacentral:rRNA from 1 species
AAACCAACCGGGAUUGCCUCAGUAACGGCGAGUGAAGCGGCAACAGCUCAAAUUUGAAAUCUGGCCCUGCCCGAAUUGUAAUUUGAAGAAGCGACUCUGGUACCGGUCCCUGUCUAUGUUCCUUGGAACAGGACGUCACAGAGGGUGAGAAUCCCGUGCGAUGGGGAGUGCGGCGCCGUGUAGAGCGUUUUCGACGAGUCGAGUUGUUUGGGAAUGCAGCUCUAAGUGGGUGGUAAAUUCCAUCUAAAGCUAAAUACGGGCGAGAGACCGAUAGCGAACAAGUACUGUGAAGGAAAGAUGAAAAGCACUUUGAAAAGAGAGUGAAAAAGUACGUGAAAUUGUUGAAAGGGAAGGGCUUGGGAUCAGACUUUGUAUUUCCAUGGCGUUCUCUCGGGAGCGUCCGCUGGGCUUACAGGGCCAGCAUGGGUUCUGCGGGCAAGACACGGCGGCAGGAACGUGGCUCCCCCUCGGGGGAGUGUUAUAGCCUGCCUCACCAGUUGCCACGCGGGACCGAGGACUGCGGAUCUAGGAUGCUGGCAUAAU